CCUACGGGAGGCAGCAGUGAGGAAUAUUGGUCAAUGGGCGAGAGCCUGAACCAGCCAAGUCGCGUGAGGGAGUACUGCCCUAUUGGUUGUAAACCUCUUUUGUCGGGGAGCAAAAGCCGGACGUGUCCGGCUGUGAGAGUACCCGAAGAAAAAGCAUCGGCUAACUCCGUGCCAGCAGCCGCGGUAAUACGGAGGAUGCGAGCGUUAUCCGGAUUUAUUGGGUUUAAAGGGUGCGCAGGCGGAUUUUUAAGUCAGCGGUAAAAUCGUGGGGCUCAACCCCAUCCAGCCGUUGAAACUGGGGAUCUAGAGUGUGCGAGAGGUAUGCGGAAUGCGUGGUGUAGCGGUGAAAUGCAUAGAUAUCACGCAGAACCCCGAUUGCGAAGGCAGCAUACCGGUGCACAACUGACGCUCAGGCACGAAAGCGUGGGUAUCGAACAGGAUUAGAUACCCGAGUAGUC
rnacentral:rRNA from 1 species